rnacentral:lncRNA from 1 species
UUUAACAAGCUGUAAAUUAAAACAAAACAACACCAAAAGCUUAGAAUAGAAGGCAAAUGCACAAGGCCAAGUUUAGACCAAAAGGGGACUUCCAGUGAGGGUAUGUAGAUAUAGGGGAUUCCACCCCUUACAACGGUUCUCUAAGGUAGGCUGAGACUACUUUGGAGUGGUGAAAUACCCCAGGUGGUCCCACUCUACUCCCAUUCUCUAGAAUGGGCGGCGCAUGGCCUAUUCCCACACGAUAAUU